UCCCAUGUGGUUCAGUUGGUAGAGCAUGGUGCUUGCAACGCCAGGGUUGUUGGUUCAAUUCCCACGGGGGAC
rnacentral:tRNA from 1 species